rnacentral:hammerhead_ribozyme from 1 species
AUUCAAUUGACGAAUCCUAGAUAAGAUGAAAUGCGCAUCAUGAAU